CCACCGUAUAGACAAGACGUUUCACCUGUGGCCCCUCGUUAUUUUGUAAUAUUUCGUCUUGAAGAGCAGCAGCCAACCCCUGAGACUGUGUUGGUGAGCACAAUCUCAAUUAAUUCUCUCAGCGUCUGUUACAACCAAGAGAAUCUGCAAAAGAAUAAAUAAGUAAGUAUAACAGAUUUGUCGUGGUGCUGCUGUGUUUCGACGCCUGCUUGGUGAUUCACGGCACAGUGAAGCACUGACUGAAGCAGGACUAUGAUGGUCCCUCGGUAACCAAGACACUCCUUCAGUCCCAGGGAAAGCCCACCGAAGCGCCAUGGAAGUUGUUACGGAUCAACUUCAAUAAUCUCAAGCCUGGAGGGUAAACUGACUCAACUCACCAGGAGCCUUGAAUUCUCGCAAUCGGAAAUUCUCGACCUUAGGGUUAACAAGUUGCACAAGACUGAAGGUGAACCCCAACGUGAAGCCAUGAAGAAACGACUGACUGAGCCAGUCACACCUCUGUAACUAUCAGGAAGAUUACAGCCGUCGAAACAAGCUUCGGUUCAGUGGUGUUCAGUAACGUGUCAGUGGCGUCAGUGGGAACAAUCGGCAGCAGCUGUAUCAUUCCCUGCUGUAGGAUGAGCUGCAGCUGCCUGCUGUGAAUCUGGAGCGAGCUUACUGUGUAGGGCGGCCUCAGGAUAGACGGCUUCGCGCCAUAGCGACCCGCUUUGAUCGCUGCUCGGGUCGCGAGGAAAUGUUGCGGAACUCGAGGAAACUCCGAGGCACCGGGAUCGCAGUUAACGAAGAUUUGUGUCCGGUCUUACACAAGAGACAGUCAAGUGACUCUACUAAAACAAGCUAAAAGUUAAGAUAAAGUGAUAUAUUUUAAGCACACUAAGCUCAUUUUCAAGGACAGAGCUGAGCUGCCAAACUCAGGUGCUCGUGGUGGUGGCGUUGACGGAAUUGUUUUGCUUGUUUAGGCGACAUCCAGUGUCCAGAAUGUAACUACUGCUAACUUAGACAGGAGUGCUACUGGUGCUGCCAACACAUUAAUCACCCAAGCAGCUGUAGUAAGCAAGCAUCCUGAACAACUUGAGGGCCACUAAGUGACUACAGCAGGCCACUCUGCGUCUACAAGCAAUGUGGACGCUAGUGCCUCGGUACCUGCACCGGAAACUGUCUGUUUCACGCCGGGCCAGCAUCACAUCCCAAAGGUUGUGUGGAAUUACCAAUCCUGGCUGACCUUUCCUCGGAGUCUUCACAAAAGCCGGCGCCGUGUAUAUUUAGAGGCGACUCUUGGAAUGCAAGUACAAUUGACUGACUUGCGCUACAUACACAUUUCACCUAUAUUCUGGCAAAGUCUGCCGAGCCUCAUCUGCUACAGAAUUAUUUGUGUUGUGGAUAGUUGUCAUCAGAGGUCCAUCACGCUUGAUUGGAAACUAUCGCCUUUAAUGUGAAAAAUGUUGUAAAUACAAAACUCAAAUUAAAAAAGCGAGAAAUAAGAAUGUGAAUAGUUAAAAAAUAAUAAUAACAUCCAGUUAUAACGAUUUUAUGUGAUUUUAUGUGUAUUUGAGUAUGAAGUGAGUCGCAUAUUGCAAGGAAAAGUCAUUCACCUCACUUGCUUUCCUUAAAAUUUGGACUGGUUACCUGUUUUUUGGUUUUAUAUUCUCCAGUUGUAUAGAUCUAAGUUU